UACGUAGGGCGCAAGCGUUGUCCGGAAUUACUGGGCGUAAAGCGCACGUAGGCGGACUUGUAAGUCAGGGGUGAAAUCCCGGGGCUCAACCUCGGAACUGCCUUUGAUACUGCGAGUCUCGAGUCCGAUAGAGGUGGGUGGAAUUCCUGGUGUAGCGGUGAAAUGCGUAGAUAUCAGGAGGAACACCUGCGGUGUAGACGGCUUACUGGACGGUAACUGACGCUGAGGCACGAAAGCGUGGGUAGCAAACAGG
rnacentral:rRNA from 1 species